AAGUGAGAAUAUCCAAGUUUUUGAAGAGUUGGAGGAAGAAGAGGAGGUUGGAAUUUGACAUGUUGGACCUUACAUGUAUGAGCCAGACGCUAAUCAGGAUGCAAACAAUGUGCCCAGACGGCCUGACAUGGAAUGGAGACAAGACCCAUCGAGAUCAUAAGAUUGGUGUACUUGUGGUGAAUGCCAGCAAAUGCCUACAGCACUUGAAUGUGUUUGCUGCCAUGAAAUUCAAGAAGUAGUGACUGUACGUCAACAAGGAGAAGAACACUUCAAUCAGGUGCUGGACUGCAUCACCGACCAUCCUGGACUCAAUGCUGUGUGCCUAGACCCAUAUGGAUUACACGUGGCAU